UCACCGGGUGAAAAAUUUCUUU
rnacentral:miRNA from 1 species